GUAGUAUCCGGCUUAUGUCUUCGGCUUUUGCAAGGCAGGUUCUUCAUUAUACCUCGGACGGAUAAUAGUCCGGCCCCGACUUUCAUGUUCUGCUUUUAUGACUCGUUCCAUAUCGUCGCCUUGCUUUCCACGUGUUGGGCGAAUGUGAACGGUCCAUAAUAAUUUUUACAAAUAAAACCCAUGACCACACCGGGACGCCGCCUAUAUAAAGAGGUUAGAUCCCCAAGUGCCAUCCACAUCGUGCAAAGAACAUCAGGAAUAGCCACGGAAAACUUCAAAACAUGGCCAGCGCUCCCAGCUCUUCUUCGCACCCUCAUGGCCCUCAAGAGGGUGAUUGGCGGAGCUGCUCAGUGUCCCAUGUUCAGCUGAACUGACUUCAGACGUAGGGAUAUCUCCCUCUCGCAGAUCUAGUCCCUGUGCGAGCGGGAUUGGCCUUGAUCGGCAAUGAUGCGCUAGAAGAAAAUUUCCCCAUCCCCAACAAGGAGGAGAGGGUGUGCUUCGUUUCGUUUCUGUUGCAGGGCUUAGGAUUUCCAAUCCAUCCCUUUCUCAGGGGCCUGUUGGAGUUCUACGGAAUCCAGCUGCAAAACCUCACCCCAAGUUCGAUUCUACACAUCUCGGGCUUUGUCGCUCUCUGCGAACUGUUCCUGGGCUGCGAGGCCCAUUUCGAACUAUGGACAAAGUUCUUUUGCCUCAUCCCUCACCAUCGAGGGGGUUCCAUAUUUGAAGUGGGCGGCGCCGAAGUAUGGCACAUAGCCGGAUCAGGCUACCCUAUUGGAACUUCCAAGGAAGUAUCCCAAGAAUGGUCUUCGGAAUGGUUUUAUAAUGAGGACUUCCCCCUUAUGGACCCAGUUCGGCGCGGCCACCCCGAAUUCUCCAGUGCUCCUUUGAAGAAAUGCCUCAAUUGGCACCCCUGGAAUCCCAAGGAGGAAGACAGUGCUGAAGUGAAGAGGUUGGUCAGCAAGGUCAGAUUACUAGCUCAUUCUGAGCUCUCGAUAAUCGAAGUCAUGGCCAUCACAGUAAAACAAUGUAUUCAGCCCCUUCAGUCCAUAGUAACUCCUUUGUGGUAUUAUAACGGAGAAGACGACGCAUCUCAUUACAGAGACGCAAGGGCCCAGAUACCCCAGCCGAACUGGCCAUAAUCCUGUCUGAUCUGUAUAAGGGGAUAAAGAAUACUUCCUUCGCUUAAACUGUCGAGAAGGCUUUUCCAUGUACAACCCCAUUGAAUGGUCAUGGAGGAAGGAGGUUGAGAACAUUCAUUGUUCCUCCCCAUAGCUAGAGGAUCAUGCUCGCAAUGAAGACCUCAGCUUCCUCCAGGAUCUGGAUAUAUACAUAGACUUCGAUGAUGGAGUAUUUUAUCAGGCGAGCCUCGACGGCUCGGAGGUGGCAAUUACGGCCGACUACCCGCGCCUUUACCCCUUCUCCAUUGUAAGUAUUCGGGAAACUUCCUCAAAAAGGAGCCCAUGUUUACAUCCUACCCCUCACACUAAAAUGUGUUUUAUAGGAUCGAUGCUCCGCAAGCCGUACUCCAUCGAGAGCGGCUUCUACACAGGGUGAUCGUUCAAAACGAAAGGAAACCGGAAGCGCAGACGAGCCCCCUCCUCCUUCAAAUAGGAGGAGCACACGACAAACCGUGGGAAAACAUCCCGCCGUCCGUGUAUCGGCUAAUCCGGCCCCGGGCUCAUGAAUCAGGACGAGAGUUGAUACAGUACCAGAUCCACCCCCUCAUGAGGAUUCAGAUGACGUAUCUGUCACGAAUUAGGAGGUGGAGAGCAUGAUGAAUCAUCACCGACUAAAAGAGGCCAUGCACGCUCUAGUUUUUAUUAAACAGGAAUCCACCGCCCUCAGCUCCGUAGAUGCAUAUAUCGGGGCAACUCGGGACGGACUUGCCAGAGUUACAUAGCUAUUAUCAAAGGAUAUACAAGUAAUAGCUUGUGCAAAUUUAAUAGAUAUAUGCCAGUAGCCCCUGAGACUUGAAGCAGUUAGACCAACCGAUUUAAGGAUUGUUAUGACCUACAGGUUCUUAGGGAGAAGAAUAAUGCGCUAUCCCAGGAGCUGAAAACAAGCCAUGGAGUUGGUGGAGAUGAAGAAAGCCACAAUGACCACCGAUCAAAAGAACAAGCUCUAGGAGGAAAAAGAUAAGCAAGCCAAAGAGAUGAAGAGCUUAAAGGCUCAGUAAUCGGCCGCGUAGAAAGAAAACAAGAAGUUAAAAGGCGGCAUAUUCGGUAUGACCCGUUGAACCAUCCAAAGGAUUUAUAGUAUCCCAUAGUUUGGAUUGUCACAACAUUGUUGUU